UGGGGAAUAUUGCGCAAUGGGCGAAAGCCUGACGCAGCGACGCCGCGUGAGGGAUGAAGGCCUUCGGGUUGUAAACCUCUUUCAGCAGGGAAGAAGCGCAAGUGACGGUACCUGCAGAAGAAGCACCGGCUAACUACGUGCCAGCAGCCGCGGUAAUACGUAGGGUGCAAGCGUUGUCCGGAAUUAUUGGGCGUAAAGAGCUCGUAGGCGGUCUGUCGCGUCUGGUGUGAAAAUCCAGGGCUUAACCCUGGACCUGCAUCGGGUACGGGCAGACUAGAGUGCGGUAGGGGAGAUCGGAAUUCCUGGUGUAGCGGUGAAAUGCGCAGAUAUCAGGAGGAACACCGGUGGCGAAGGCGGAUCUCUGGGCCGUAACUGACGCUGAGGAGCGAAAGCAUGGGGAGCGAACAG
rnacentral:rRNA from 1 species